AAUGGCCGGCGCCGCGGCCGACGGAAGUCAGUCGUGCGUCUCUGCGGCUCAGCCGACCCAUUUCCGGCCGCCGGUGGUCCGUCGGAGGCGUUCCGGGUGGCCCGCCCCCGGGAGGCUUGUCACACGGUCCGGGCCGAGGCGGAGCGGGGCUCGGGUCCUCACAGGACUGCGAGUCAGAGUUUCCCCCUCGCGCCAGCGCCGCCUCAAAGGUCAGGGCUCGCCCACUCUCCGGUGGCGCCCGCCUGACCUUUCGUGGGCUCCCAGGGAAGUUCUCCGCGGCGUUGGGAACCCGCCCAUCAGCUGGGCGCCGAGGCCCCAGCCUUUUAUCUCCAGCACUCGGGGUCAGAGGCAGGAGGAUGGCCGCGAGCUCCAGUUCUAGUCGAGACUGAGCUGCUAUGUGGGACAGUCUCAAACAGGCACACGCACACCAAAACAAAAAACAAACAAACAAAAAAACAAAACACUUUUUUUUCUAUUUCGGUAAAUGUCCCAACGGCCUCUCUUCCUCACAGAGAUGAAAAACGUUAACUUGACGCUGCAAGUGCACGAGUCACAGGCACCGUCUGCUCGGAUGACCGUGACGUGAGAAAGAUGAAACACAGCGAUUGCUGAACCGCACCGACUUCCUGAAACCUGGGAGGCUUUUGGCUUGUGCUUCUUCCCACCUUGCAUAAUGACUUGUCAGCUGUUGAGUGAAAAGGCUCGUGGAUAGGAUGGGGCUGUUCUGACAGACUAACAGGUGUCUUCAUGACCAGUGUCACAGCAGUCUGUUUUGGUAUGUUCAUGAGAGUGCAAAUGCCCUUGGCGUUGUGUUUCGGGCCAUUGUGAGCCACCACCUCAGGGUUUGAGACUUACCAUUUAUUGGAUAAAAUCAUUGCUGCCUCAACUCCAUUUCAGAUCUUCAUGGUGGUGUGGAGAUGUCAUAGUGUGAGCUUCUGAUUGUGUUGCCCUCAAACUAUUGCCAGGGCCAUUGCAACAGCCCUGAACCUAGCCCCACCACCAUCUGGCCGCAGAGGUCACCUUCUCAAGGUGAAGUCGCCUUCCUGGGGUGUCCCCAGCCAGGUCCCUGAACUGACACACUGGAUUAAUCCUUAAGUGAAGAGACAAGGGUAUGUGUCCACCUAGAGAUGGAUUUCAUUCUGAUACUACAGGCAUGAACCACCUUGCCCAGUACCCUUAAGUUGCCCCUGUGUAUUUCUGUCUGUCACCCUUGGUUUCUACACUUUCAAAGCUGAAGGGCUAGCUCAAAAGCCAAGUCAUUCUAGAACUCCUAAAAUAGUUUCUUUUUAAAUCCUUAAACAACAUCCUACAUUUGCUC
rnacentral:lncRNA from 1 species